AGGGUUUGAUCAUGGCUCAGAUUGAACGCUGGCGGCAGGCCUAACACAUGCAAGUCGAACGGUAACAGAAAGAAGCUUGCUUCUUUGCUGACGAGUGGCGGACGGGUGAGUAAUGCUUGGGAAUUUGCCUUGAGGUGGGGGACAACAGUUGGAAACGACUGCUAAUACCGCAUAAUUGCUACGGCACAAAGGGGGCUCCGGCUCUCGCCUUUAGAGAAGCCCAAGUGGGAUUAGAUAGUUGGUGGGGUAAUGGCCUACCAAGUCAACGAUCCCUAGCUGGUCUGAGAGGAUGAUCAGCCACACUGGAACUGAGACACGGUCCAGGCUCCUACGGGAGGCAGCAGUGGGGAAUAUUGCACAAUGGGGGAAACCCUGAUGCAGCCAUGCCGCGUGUGUGAAGAAGGCCUUCGGGUUGUAAAGCACUUUCAGCGAGGAGGAAGGGUUAGUAGUUAAUACCUGCUAGCUUUGACGUUACUCGCAGAAGAAGCACCGGCUAACUCCGUGCCAGCCGCCGCGGUAAUAC
rnacentral:rRNA from 1 species